rnacentral:rRNA from 1 species
GAGGAAUAUUGGGCAAUGCCCGCAAGGGUGACCCAGCAACGCCGCGUGGAGGAUGAAUGUCGUAAGAUUGUAAACUCCUGUUAGAGGGGAAGAAUAGUACCGGUUGGACCGGUAUAUGACUGUACCCUCAGAGAAAGCCCCGGCUAACUACGUGCCAGCAGCCGCGGUCAUACGUAGGGGGCAAGCGUUGUCCGGAUUUACUGGGUGUAAAGGGCGCGCAGGCGGGAUAAAAGGUCAGUGGUGAAAUCCUACAGCUUAACUGUAGAACUGCCUUUGAUACUUUUAUGCUUGAGUUCGGGAGAGAGAGACGGAAUUCCAGGUGUAGUGGUGAAAGACGUAGAUAUCUGGAAGAACACCAGUUGCGAAGGCGGUCUCUUGGUCCGACACUGACGCUGAGGCGCGAAAGCGUGGGGAGCAAACA